ACGGGGGGGGCAAGCGUUGUUCGGAAUUACUGGGCGUAAAGGGCGCGUAGGCGGCUCGUCAAGUCGGGCGUGAAAUCUCCGGGCUUAACCCGGAAAAGUCGUUCGAUACUGUUGAGCUAGAGUGUGGAAGGGGCUACUGGAAUUCCGUGUGUAGCGGUGAAAUGCGUAGAUAUACGGAGGAACACCAGCGGCGAAGGCGGGUUGCUGGGCUGACACUGACGCUGAGGCGCGAAAGCCAGGGGAGCGAACGGGA
rnacentral:rRNA from 1 species